GAUGAACGCUGGCGGCGUGCCUAAUACAUGCAAGUCGAGCGAACAGAUGAGGAGCUUGCUCCUCUGACGUUAGCGGCGGACGGGUGAGUAACACGUGGAUAACCUACUUAUAAGACUGGGAUAAAUUCGGGAAACCGGAGCUAAUACCGGAUAAUAUAUUGAACCGCAUGGUUCAAUAGUGAAAGACGGUUUUGCUGUCACUUAUAGAUGGAUCCGCGCCGCAUUAGCUAGUUGGUAAGGUAACGGCUUACCAAGGCAACGAUGCGUAGCCGACCUGAGAGGGUGAUCGGCCACACUGGAACUGAGACACGGUCCAGACUCCUACGGGAGGCAGCAGUAGGGAAUCUUCCGCAAUGGGCGAAAGCCUGACGGAGCAACGCCGCGUGAGUGAUGAAGGUCUUCGGAUCGUAAAACUCUGUUAUUAGGGAAGAACAAAUGUGUAAGUAACUAUGCACGUCUUGACGGUACCUAAUCAGAAAGCAACGGCUAACUACGUG
rnacentral:rRNA from 1 species